UCCCUUUGUUCCAAAGUGGUUUUACAAAAUAUAGUGCCUUAAAACUCCCUUAAACGGUUGGUUUGGGUGGAUAAAGAAGAAACUUUGGGAGUAACCAAAACUCAGCAGAGAGAGCCAAUCCUUCUGUGGAACAUUUGUGGAACAUCAAUAAUGGUGGGAUGAACCAAAAGCACAGGUGCAGCUGCAGGUGGAGGAGAUUCAAACAUAUAUAAGUCUGAUGGGUCACACACAGAAGACAGUGAAGACUGAGGAACAUUUGAAGACUCUCAUUCAUCGGUAUCUCCAACAAUAGAAUGGUAAGACUCAUUUUAAUAUGGUUCUUGUCUCUGUAUGAUUGCAGGGUUGAUAUAAAAGAUACAUUUACUUAAUUUAUCAUAAUAAUCAAUAUACAGGUGUUUUUGCAUAUCUAGAACUAAAAUGAUAAGCUAUUUUAUGUCAUCAUUCAACUUGCUAUACAGUCAUAUUAAGGUGAAUAUUUUUUUUUUUUUUUGCAAAUUGCAUACUGACUUAAAUAUAAAUGUACUUCAGCAAGUGUGAGAAGCAUAACAAAAUGAUCCUAUUUAUCUGUGAUUUCACUCUCCUAUGUAUUUAAUCUACAGAUUUCAGAGCAGAGAGAGAUGAAGAGUGUUCUCUCAGUGAAGAUGUUGGCUGUGUUGCCUCUGGUUCUGUUGGUGUCCAGUGUGACUGAGGGACGGAUUAUGAGUAAAUGUGAGCUGAAGGCCAAGCUGGAGGCUGCACGAUUUCAAGACUUUAAGGUCAUGGGAGAAAAAUUGAGCACAAAAGAUCUUGUAGCUAGACGUGAGUAAUAGAGAUACUUCUCUUUCAGAUUCCCUUAUUUCUCUCUCAGUCUUCAGGAGGCUAUAUUUCCAUGUCACAUAACCAGCUAAGAGGUUCAUUACCUUCAUCCAUAUGUUUUUCUUUUCCUUUCUGAGGCAGUUGUCUGCAAGGCUAAAGCCUCUGGCUUCAACACCAACUUCAUGAAAACCAUCAGCAACUACUAUGAAGAGAACAAUCCCGAUGACGCCCCACCUCAGUCAUCCACCUCCACCUUAAGGCCUACUUCAAGGGCCACCAGCUCCACCUCAAGUACCACCUCAAAGUCUACAUCAAGUCCCACAAUAAGACCCACCACAUUUUCCACUUCAAAACCCACCACAGGCUCCACCACAAGACCAACCACAGGCUCCACCACAGGCUCCACCACAAGACCAACCACAGGCUCCACCACAAGACCAACCACAGGCUCUACCACAGGCUCCACCACAAGCCCAACCACAGGCUCCACCACAAGACCAACCACAGGCUCCACCACAAGACCAACCACAGGCUCCACCACAAGACCAACCUCAGGCUCCACCACAAGCUCCACUUCAACCCCUACCACAGGCUCCACCUCAAGCUCCACCACAAGCUCCACUUCAACACCCACCACAGGCUCCACCUCAAGCUCUACUUCAAGCUCCACUUCAACCCCUACCACAGACUCCACCACAGGCUUCACCUCUAGCUCCACCACAAGCUCCACUUCAUCCCCCACCACAGACUUCACCUCAAGCUCCACCACAAGCUCCACUUCAACCCCCACCACAGACUUCACCUCAAGCUCCACCACAAGCUCCACUUUAACCCCUACCACAGGCUCCACCUCAAGCUCCACUUCAACCCCCACAACAGACUCCACCACAGGCUCCACCUCAAGCUCUAUGACAAGCUCCACUUCAACCCCCACCACAGACUCCACCACAGGCUCCACCUCAAGCUCUACCACAAGUCCAACCACAAGACCCACCAAAGUCUCCACCUCAAGCUCUACCACAAGUCCAGCCAAAAGACCUGUCACAGGGCACCCUACAGUCUCUCCUUCAAGACCUACCCCAAGAAAUGCCUCGAACAGAGGCCGGCGUCACAUUCCUUUUUUUAACAAACCCAACGGUCCUAUCUUUAGGGAGAAGGAGCCAAAGUGGCCCUUAGUCGAACGCCUGUAUGGACUGUUUCAGCUCAGUGAUCAGUGGGCCUGUAAUUCUGACAAGGUGCCAUCUCUCAAUAUUUGCAACAUGAAAUGCACUGCUUUAAAUGGUGAUGAUGCCACAAAUGACAUUGCUUGCCUGAAGACCCUGAUGAACAGCAUGCCACCUAAACCUCUUGUGAACCCCUCUGAUUUGAAGAAGAUGUAAGUUGAAAAUAUUUUUAUGACAUCAUAAUUUUGCUAAUCAUGUCAAUACACGCUAAAUAUAAUAAAAUACAUAAAAUAUAAAUGAAAAUAAGUACAUAUUAUAGUGCAUUUUAUGGAAUGAAUAGCAUUUUGGAGGUUGUUUUGCUUAUUUAGAAAGCUGUUUGUUAAUGUUGUCAAUUAAUUACAAUCAAAAACAGCUUAUUUUAGCCAUGCCUAACAACUGUGUUAUACCAAUUUUCAAUGAUUUCCAUGGCUCUACACACCUGAAGUAUAAAAGGUCUUUUUUCCUAUUUGAGUGCAACAAUUAGCAUAGCUAUUUAAAGAUUUUAAAUAUUAGCAAAGUAACCAUAGCACUUGCUAUGGCAAAUUCCAUUUUCAACAUGUUGUGACAUGGUGAAAUAAUAAGGUGCUUGAACUGACAAAGUCAACUAGUACAUUGUGAUAAUUGGUGUUUCUCGGCAUGUGACAAACACAGAGUGAUUAAUUAUUAUAUGUCAGACAUUAUAGGCUUAAAAAAAUCUAAUCUGAAGGUUCAAAGUGUGACUGUUUUCUGUGUGUUACAGCUUGGGGACCUUGUUGGUGGAUGAGUGCCGCUCUGUUGUUCACUCAGAGUACUUUGCUGAGUGUUUUUAGAGGAAUACCCCUAUGAUUGAAUGGUAAUGGGGUCAUUGGUUGUGGAACCCGUGUGGCUCUUAACUAAGGGUGUUUGUCCAUUAAGGCACUUUAUGUUAUUGCUUUGUUAUUGCUGUGAUAUUGUAAAAUUGUUAUUUAUGUACACAUUUACAUUUUUGUCUAAACUUAAAAUUUAACAUUUGGUUCCUUGUGUCAGACUGUGCUUUUCAUUAAAAUAAUAUAAAAAAAUACAGAAGUGCUCAAAAUGCACUUUCUUUCUGCAUAUUUUUUUUUCUUCAGGAUAAUAUAUUACCAUUUGUACCCAGAAAAAAUAUAUAUAUAUUUUAAGGUCAGGAAACAGCCUAGUUUGAAGAUCAUUUAGGAAUUUUAAAUGAUUCAUUUCAAAUCCGACUUGUGC
ensembl:lncRNA